CUAUUCUCAUUUGUUUUCUUAGGAUUUUGGUUAUGCACAUUUCACUGAUUUCAUUUGUAAUGCUGCUGGCGUUACUGUUACUAACCGUAUACUUGUGCUCUUUGUUUUUUGAACUUUCCAAAUACUUACCUGCCUUCUUGGUCUUGUGCUUAAAUGGUCGUUUGAUCAUUGAUCCAUGUUUUUCUUUUUGAAAUUAUCUUAACAUGCGUAUGAUGUUAAUUAACUAUGAGCUAAUUUGUGAUUAUAUUUGCUAAUCAUGAACAUUAUGUGCUAUCACUGCAACCUUUUGAGUUGAUGUAGAGUGGAAACUGCAAUUAGAGUCACUCAAGAAGGGGCAUCAAUGAAAAUACCAAAACUUAGGGUUGGAAAAAUAAAUGGGGGCAAACUGGGGCUUUACUCUCCAUGAACCAACAGUGGCACAAACAAUUGUAAGUGAAUGCAAUUUUGGCUGUGAA